GAGUUUGAUUCUGGCUCAGGACGAACGCUGGCGGCAUGCCUAACACAUGCAAGUCGAACGGAGAGUGUCCGACACCGGGGAUCCCGAGAGGGGUUCGCGGUGUUGGAUACUCUUAGUGGCGAACGGGUGAGUAACGCGUAGGCAACCUGCCCUCCGGAUGGGGACAACAUUCCGAAAGGAGUGCUAAUACCGAAUACGAGCGCUUCUCCGCAUGGGGAAGCGGUGAAAGAUGGCCUCUCGAAGAAGCUAUCGCCGGAGGAUGGGCCUGCGUCUGAUUAGCUAGUUGGUGGGGUAACGGCUCACCAAGGCGACGAUCAGUAGCCGGUCUGAGAGGAUGGACGGCCACAUUGGGACUGAGACACGGCCCAGACUCCUACGGGAGGCAGCAGUGGGGAAUCUUCCGCAAUGGGCGAAAGCCUGACGGAGCAAUGCCGCGUGAGUGAAGAAGGGAUUCGUUCCGUAAAGCUCUGUUGUUCAUGACGAACGGCUGCAGUGUAAAUAAUGCUGCAGAGUGACGUAGUAACGAGAAGCCACGCA
rnacentral:rRNA from 1 species